UACAGAGGUCCCAAGCGUUGUUCGGAUUCACUGGGCGUAAAGGGUGCGUAGGUGGUGGGGUAAGUCGGAUGUGAAAUCUCGGAGCUCAACUCCGAAAUGGCAUUGGAAACUACCCUGCUGGAGGGUUGGAGGGGGGACUGGAAUUCUCGGUGUAGCAGUGAAAUGCGUAGAUAUCGAGAGGAACACCGGUGGCGAAGGCGAGUCCCUGGACAACACCUGACACUGAGGCACGAAAGCUAGGGGAG
rnacentral:rRNA from 1 species